UGGGCUUUAAUUUAAUAAAAGUGUCUGAUUUGCAGUCAGGAGAUGCGAGUUUGAAUCUUGCAAGUCCAA
rnacentral:tRNA from 1 species